UGCAUAGGAAGGAUGCUAUAUAUACUCAUGCCUUCCUAAGCAAGCAUACAGGGUGCAGAGGGCAGGUUCCAGCAAGACUCUGAGAACCGGGAAUCUUCGCUUUGCCUCUUGCUUAUUUAUUUUUUUAUUUUAUUUCUUUAUUUUGACCCAGGGUCUCUCUGUGUAACCCUGGCUGACCUGGAACUCACUUUGUAGACCAGAUUGGCCUUAGAUCUGCCUGCCUCUGCCUCCUGAGUUCUGGGAUUAAAGGUGUGCCCCCACUGCCUGUCUCCACUUUUUGUUUUUUGUGGGGUUUUUUGUGUUUUUGUUUUGUUUUGUUUUGAUUUGAUUUUAAAGAAAGAAGGAAGCAGGGUCUUGCCAUGCAACUCUCUCUGGUUUGCCUGGUACUUGCUACGUAGAACAGGCUGACCUCAAACUGACAGACUACCUGCCUCUGCCUCCUCAGUGCUUAGUGGCUUGGCUUUUGAGUUGAGUCAAGGCCUUUCUUUAGUUCUCUGACCUCAAAAGCAUUGCACCGGGGGUCACCUAUGGGUCUACUACAAAUGCAAGCCACCUGGAGAAGUGCCUCUACUUCACUUGGCUCUCUGGAGUUCUGUGACCCUCUUGAGGACUUUGCUGGCUACAAUUUCUCCAUCAGCUUAUGUGACUCAUCCAACAAUUUGGAGGUGGUCAAAAUGGAG
rnacentral:lncRNA from 1 species